rnacentral:rRNA from 1 species
GACGAACGCUGGCGGCGUGCUUAACACAUGCAAGUCGAACGGUAAGGCCCCUUUUUUGGGGUACACGAGUGGCGAACGGGUGAGUAACACGUGGGUGACCUGCCCUUUACUCUGGGAUAAGCCUGGGAAACUGGGUCUAAUACCGGAUAUGACUCGCGAUCGCAUGGUUGCGGGUGGUAAGCCAGUGACGUUUGUUUCUGGGGGUGGGGGAUGGGCCCGCGGCCUAUCAGCUUGUUGGUGGGGGGAUGGCCUACCAAGGCUUCGACGGGUAGCCGGCCUGAGAGGGCGGCCGGCCACACUGGGACUGAGACACGGCCCAGACUCCUACGGGAGGCAGCAGUGGGGAAUAUCGCGCAAUGGGCGGAAGCCUGACGCAGCGACGCCGCGUGGGGGAUGACGGCCUUCGGGUUGUAAACCUCUUUCGACCCCGACGAAGGGUUUCUGACGGUAGGGGUGGAAGAAGCACCGGCCAACUACGUGCCAGCCGCCGCCGUAAGAC